UUGCUCUUCAACGAGGAAUGCCUAGUAAGCGCAUGUCAUCAGCAUGCGUUGAUUACGUCCCUGCCCUUUGUACACACCGCCCGUCGCUACUACCGAUUGAAUGGCUCAGUGAGGCCUUCGGACUGGCUCAGGGAGGUUGGCAACGACCACCCCGAGCCGGAAAGUUCGUCAAACUCGGUCAUUUAGAGGAAGUAAAAGUCGUAACAAGGUUUCCGUAGGUGAACCUGCGGAAGGAUCAUUAUCGUUGGGCUCCUGCCCAUUCGAGAUAACACCCUUGCCUUUUUGAGUACCUUUUCGUUUCCUCGGCAGGCACGCCUGCCAACGGGGACCCUUCAAAACGCUUUGUAAUACCUGUCAUUGUCUGAUAUAACAAGCAAAAAUCAAAACUUUCAACAACGGAUCUCUUGGUUCUGGCAUCGAUGAAGAACGCAGCGAAAUGCGAUAAGUAGUGUGAAUUGCAGAAUUCAGUGAAUCAUCGAAUCUUUGAACGCACAUUGCGCCCUUUAGUAUUCCUUAGGGCAUGCCUGUUCGAGCGUCAUUUAAACCUUCAAGCUCAGCUUGGUGAUGGGUGACUGUCCCCUCCCUUCGCGGGGGGACUCGCCUCAAAAACAUUGGCGGCCGGUACAUUGGCUUCGAGCGCAGCAGAAACGCGGUCUCGAGCCCGGUGGAUCGGCUCCCAUAAGCCUCAUUCUUUAUUUUGACCUCGGAUCAGGUAGGGAUACCCGCUGAACUUAAGCAUAUCAAUAAGCGGAGGA
rnacentral:rRNA from 1 species